GGUAAGUUUAACAGUAAUGUUACAGUCAAAAACACAGAUUUCUCCACAAGUCAUAUCAGCUUCCCAAGCAAAGCUGUUGCAAUAAUCCAUUGUUAUUUUAAGUCAAUGGGAAGAUAAUGAUUAAAAGGAGUAAUGCUGAUGAAAAACCACACGUUGCAUAACUGAGUCAAAGGCCAUCAUGUGAGGAGGAAUCGAAGAGAGAAAGAAAGAAGGAAUUUAGUUAACACUGUAAAAAGAGUGACAGCACAAAUAGUAAGGAAAGACAAAGAAAAAAGGAAAGAAAAAAAGAGAAAAACAAUGGUGAAGACACAUAGAUGCAAGAAACUCUCAUGUAAAGAGCAACCUUUGGACCAAGAAUGGCAUAGAAGAAUAGAGAGCCUAGAUGUGAAUUCCAGUCCUUCAUUGAUGCUGAAUAUUGCCCUUGCACUCCAACAUGUGCUGGUUCUGUCCUCUCUGUGUGCGCUGGUUGUGGAAACACUCAUUCAGGAAGUAGACAAAGACAGAAUAGUGGCCUAUGUGUUCUUUAACUCAGGUAUAUCUACGCUGUUGCAGAGCUGGAUUGGAUCACGUUUGCCAUUGAUCUUGGCUCCAUCUUUGGACUUUCUGAUCCCUGCCUUGGCUCUGCUUUCUGCUCAGUCAGGGACUGCUGUGGCCUGCAGGGGGCAGUGCACUGAACCAGAGGAGCCUGUGGCCCAGCACUCCCAAUAAGAGAGGUAGAGCACAGUGCUGUCCGUGGUGCUGAACAUUCAGACCACCCUCCAUUGUCACAUUGUUCUACAGUAACGCAUUGUAACAGCAGAUCCCACUUCACAAAAAGUAGGCAAAUUGAUUUAUUAAAUGUAUUUAUUUAUAACAGCUUUUUUUUAACUUUAUUUAUUUGAACAGGGACACUGUAAAAUAUACAUUAACCUUAAAAAGGAGAGAUGCAUUAUAUCAGGUUGUAGCAUUUAUGCUAAUUUCCACCUGUAGUCCCAGGGCAGGCUGAAAUAAAAUUAUUUCUGCUACUUGAAAUAAAAUAGAUGCUAAAUUAAAUAUGUAUUCAUUUAUUUAUUUAAGGGUUUUUAAAGGUAAUUUGCUUCUUGAAAUAAAAUAAAAUUUUAC
rnacentral:lncRNA from 1 species